UUUCCAAGUUUUAUUCGGUUUAAAUUUUGACUAGAGAUUAAGAAUAAAGUGAAAUUAUGUUUAAGAUAGUUUAAGAAAAAAGUGAAAAACAAAAAAACACAAACAGAAACAAACAAAAAAAGACAGUGAAAAGAAAACAAAAGAGGCGCAUCUCUGUCUUAGGUUCUACACAGGUCUCUGUAGGCAACACAGACCAACCAAACCAACAAUGGCUACAAAAAAAGACAGUGAAAAUAAAACAAAAUUGGCUCAUCUCUGUCUUUGGCUCUACACAGGCUCUGUAUGCAACACAGACCAACCAAACCAACAAUGGCUCCUGUAUAUUUACAAUUACCCGAGAAACAAUAAAAUAACAACUAAAAGGCUCUUUCGAUCAACUGUGGGGCCCUUCUAAUGUCUCCGUCGUUGUCAACGUCAUCGACUGCAGACUCGCUUGGUUUUUUUAUGAACCCAUUGAAGCAUACAUAUAUUUUGAUAAUUACACAUAUUCUAUUUUGAUACUAACAAUUAUAUAUUUUUAUACCAAAAACAAA